rnacentral:rRNA from 1 species
GAGUUUGAUCGUGGCUCAGAGUGAACGCUGGCGGCAGGCCUAACACAUGCAAGUCGAGCGGCAGCGCAGCAGUAGCAAUACUGUGGGCGGCGAGCGGCGGACGGGUGAGGAACACAUCGGAAUCUACCCUGUCGUGGGGGACAACGUAGGGAAACUUACGCUAAUACCGCAUACGACCUUUGGGUGAAAGUGGGGGACUCGCAAGAGCCUCACGCGAUUGGAUGAGCCGAUGUCCGAUUAGCUAGUUGGCGGGGUAAUGGCCCACCAAGGCGACGAUCGGUAGCUGGUCUGAGAGGACGACCAGCCACACUGGAACUGAGACACGGUCCAGACUCCUACGGGAGGCAGCAGUGGGGGAAUAUUGGACAAUGGGGGCAACCCUGAUCCAGCCAUGCCGCGUGGGUGAAGAAGGCCUUCGGUU